AUCUGAUCAAAGGAAAAGAUGGUACCCGACUUCAGCAUCGAGUAUCAGUUUCUCGCUGCUCCCUUCAAGGUGGAUGGGAAAGCUCGGCACAGGAUGGCAUCUGGCGUGCCAUGGAGUAGCAUCAUUGUCCGGAAGGCCUCCAGGUGGUCAACUGGGUCCGAAGUCCCGUCGUAGCUUUCAAAUUGAGGGAGCUUGAAGUUUGGC
rnacentral:lncRNA from 1 species